CAUAAGCCACCACCUUCACUGCCUAACACCCGUCAUGUGGGGGUAAGGAUUGCUGCUCUUUAGUUAUGAACUUAGGCUGAACAUUUAUUUAUUUUCUUAUAUUUUUAUCCUGCUUUUCUUCCCUCCUAAAACCCAAGGUGGCAUACGCAUGUUCCCAGGUCUCCCAUCCAGCCAAAGACCAAACCCAGAUCUGCAAAGAUUCAGCAGAUUCACAUCCCUGCAGUGAGACAUAGUCUGUCAGGCUUCAGCAAACUGGCUUCCUCCCCCUGUUGCAGCAGAUAAGUAGAACAAAGGAAAAGGAGUCUUCUUACCAUUUAGGAACUUUAAUAAUCACAGCGAGAGAACAAGGAACACAUCUCCUAGAAUGGCGGUGCUCCCA